UACAAUCUAAAACUAUAUCAUUACACUUUUGAAGGAUGCAUAUAGUCAAGUUACUUUGCAAACUUCGUGCAUAAGUCUAACAAAGGAUAUACACUCAAGCUGCUUAUCAUAACUUUAGACCCGACUUAUGUGGUCAUUGCGCCUGGUUUCAAACUUCCGGUUAAUCAGAGCGGGAAAACAAGUCUUUACAAACGAAAAUCAAAUUUUCAGAGAUGAUUUUUAAAAUUAGAAGAUGAGCAUAUAACCGAUGAAAAAAAAAAGUUAUUAAAUACAUACAUGAUUGGCGGAGACAAUGAUGAGAUGGAUCGUUAAUGAUUGACGUGAAAUUAUGGAUAAGGUAGGUUCCCAUUUUUGUGACUUGUGAGGUAUGAGGGAUUUGCUUUU
rnacentral:lncRNA from 1 species